CUACGGGUGGCAGCAGUGGGGAAUAUUGGACAAUGGGCGAAAGCCUGAUCCAGCCAUGCCGCGUGUGUGAAGAAGGCCUUCGGGUUGUAAAGCACUUUCAGUGGGGAAGAAAGCCUUGGGGCUAAUACCCUCGAGGAAGGACAUCACCCACAGAAGAAGCACCGGCUAACUCCGUGCCAGCAGCCGCGGUAAUACGGAGGGUGCGAGCGUUAAUCGGAAUUACUGGGCGUAAAGCGCGCGUAGGCGGUCUGAUAAGCCGGUUGUGAAAGCCCCGGGCUCAACCUGGGAACGGCAUCCGGAACUGUCAGGCUAGAGUGCAGGAGAGGAAGGUGGAAUGCCCGGUGUAGCAGUGAAAUGCGUAGAGAUCGGGAGGAAUCCCAGUGGCGAAGGCGGCCUUCUGGACUAACACUGACGCUGAGGUGCGAAAGCGUGGGUAGCAAACAGGAUUAGAUACCCUUGUAGUC
rnacentral:rRNA from 1 species